UAGGUAGUUUCAUGUUGUUGGGGUUGGCUUCCUGGCUCGGCAACAAGAAACUGCCUUGA
ensembl:miRNA